GACGAAUGCUGGCGGCGUGCUUAACACAUGCAAGUCGAACGAAGUGGCGAACGGGUGAGUAACGCGUAAUCAACCUGCCCUUCAGAGGGGGACAACAGUUGGAAACGACUGCUAAUACCGCAUACGGAAGGAGGGGAUUGCGUCGGAUUAGCUAGUGGGAGGGGUAACGGUCCACCAAGGCGAUGAUCAGUAGCCGGGCGGAGAAGAUGAAGUGCCACAUUGAGACUGAGACACGGCCCAGACUCAUACGGGAGGCAGCAGUGGGGAAUCUUCCGCAAUGGACGAAAGUCUGAAGGAGCAACGCCGCGUGAGUGAUGACGGCCUUCGGGUUGUAAAGCUCUGUUAAUCGGGACGCGGUACCGGAAUAGAAAGCCACGGCUAACUACGUGCCAGCAGCCGCGGUAAUUC
rnacentral:rRNA from 1 species